rnacentral:RNase_P_RNA from 1 species
GCGGAUGGCUGGAUGACCGCGCGGCCCUGUGCCGCGAGGAAAGUCCGGACUCCACAAAACGACGGUGCCGGGUAACGCCCGGCCGGGGAAACCCGAGGGAAAGCGCCACAGAAAACAGACCGCCCCGGACCUGAUCCGGGGUAAGGGUGAAACGGCGGUGUAAGAGACCACCGCGCUGUUGGCAACAACAGUGGCACGGCAAGCCCCACCGGGAGCAAUGCCAAAUAGGGACCGC